UGACAACCUUGAAGAGCUGCAGUCCAGGUGCUAUUGGAGUUUUAUCUUAAUGCAACUGUCACUCAAGCAUUGAACAGAAACUCUGCUGAAAAGGCAAGGCUCGCGGAGGAUGGGCCAAGGGAUUCCUGGAGCCCACUGCCCUGGAGCCUCCAAGACUUUACCUUCUUCCCAUUGAUGGGACAGAGGCUUGGGCAGCGGCACCCAGCUGUGAGUCUGAGUGAACAUAGUUCCACAAGGCUGAUGCUGAGGGCCAUCUUGGGGAACCCAUGAGGACCAAGUGACUGUAUGUGAAGUAACUGGCAUAAAGCAAACAUGCUUCAGGUAGGAGGAUUUACACAUGAAACUUUAGCCACCUGAGUUCCAAAGACUGAUGAGAAAAUGGUUGAGGUGAAAGAAGAUGGUCAGGGACUGGAGCCAAUGGUGUGGCUUCUGGCUCUGGACCAAGGGUCUUCAUUUUGAUCUGUUUGGAAACAGGAUGUACCACCUUGGAUGACCAUCACCGAUACUUCUCUUGAUUUAGCUCUUUGUUGAGCCCAAGGCAGUGAGAACUGGUGUGCAACAAGGGAGCAGCCUGAACUGGCUUUCUGGACCAACUCACUCAGAAACCAUCUGCCUGUGGCUUCUGAUUCUGAGCAGAACAGAGCAGCCUGAGGUCUCAGAAUCCACCAAGAUAAUAGCUUUUCCCAAACCAGCCCAGCUAAGCUCUAAUUAAGACGGAUGGAAAUGAAUCACCACUCCGGUUGCUUGCCACACAUAGGCCGUGGCUGGGGAGCAUUCCCAAAUCCUGGGCGGCCAUUUCUCUCUUAGCCUUGCAUUGCUGGGAGAACACUCAGACAAAAGCUAAAGUCCUGUUGACUUUGGGAAGAAGGCAAAUGGCCACUGUCUGUGACUGUAUGCCUGGACUUUUGUCCACUCUGAAGGCUGAACUGUUCAUGGGAGAUGGAUGUUGCGAACAGUCUGGAGUAAUCUCGAGACAGAUGUUGUCUGGCUGGGGCAGCUGUGGACCAUAGAAGAAACUCCAAGAUCAGCCACUGAGAAUGCCAGGAGAGCCACAAAUGUGAACCUUUACCUGGGAUCCGGACAGGUGCCAGAGGUAUCAUCAAGGCUGACGGAGCCUGGCAUUGGCUUUCUCGCCGUGAUCAGCAGCUGACAACCCGACAGGAACACUUUCCCUGAUUACAUUUUAAACUUGGACUGUAGCACCCUCGGUUGGUUGCAUUUCGAAUGAGAGAGAGGCAUGCGGUAAGGCAAGGAAAGACUGUCCUGUAAGGAGGUUUGCCCAAUCUUCAGGAUCAGAGGACACGGAGCCAGCUCACCCGACACACACAGCAUCGCGUCCACAUUUCAACCUAACCAAAGUACUGACAGCCAAUAAACUGACAUUGGAUGAGAACUGAAACAUUCAAGACAGUGCACAAACUCCAACUGGUACUGUGUGAAAUCGAAAAGGAAUGUUCAGGGGUGGGGAGCGGAAGGAGCCAUUACACACCCCCUAAUGGGAAUGAGCUCCAUCCACUUGUCAAAAUGCAUUUUCUGAUCGAAUAUCACCAUUUCUUAGUGUGGUAGAAAAGAAAAAAAUGUUGCCUUCUAGGCAAGUGAUGAAGAA